GUCAAUUUAGAAUGAUCGAGAGAUAGCGAGACAGAGAGCGUCAGACCGAGAGUGUUUGAACGAUCUCGGGAUAGAGAGACAGAGAGCGCUUCUGAAUGAGAGAGAAAUUUGAUCCAUCAUUGUUGCAGGCAGAAAGAGAGAGCUACAGACUUAAUCAUUUCAUGAGCUGGUGCAAUGACUUGCUAUGAGAUUUUGGCAACUGGAAAGCCUUCCAUUAUGAUACAGUCACCCGAUGUUGCUGAAGGACAUCAAUUUAAAAAUGCUUCUUUGUUGGCAGGGAGUGCCAAAAUGGAAGAGAGGGUGAAGGAGGGAACUGAAAACAUCUUCCCUUGGUUUUAAGCAUUCAAAUCUUUCAAAGGGAAGAGCACAUUGAAAUUGCCAAAGCUAAGAAGAAGCUGAGGAAGAGCUUGAUACUCAGGCAU